UUCCUACGGGACGCAGCAGUGAGGAAUAUUGGUCAAUGGGCGAGAGCCUGAACCAGCCAAGUCGCGUGAGGGAGUACUGCCCUAUGGGUUGUAAACCUCUUUUGUCGGGGAGCAAAAGCCGGACGUGUCCGGCUGUGAGAGUACCCGAAGAAAAAGCAUCGGCUAACUCCGUGCCAGCAGCCGCGGUAAUACGGAGGAUGCGAGCGUUAUCCGGAUUUAUUGGGUUUAAAGGGUGCGUAGGCGGAAGGUUAAGUCAGCGGUCAAAUGUCGGUGCUCAACACCGGCCUGCCGUUGAAACUGGUCUU
rnacentral:rRNA from 1 species